CCAAGACCACUUCUUCAAAUAUCACCACAAAGGAGAUGAGGUCUUCAGCACAGACUCAGAGACAUAUCCAUCAGAAAUACCCUUCAUCAGUCAAUAGUGUUUUUAUUGGCUGAGCAUAGCCAUUCCUGUGAGAUGUACUUUGGUAGCACAAUGAUGAAUGUUUUACUUUCCCCUUUGUUUUCGACACUGGACUUGAGAAUUACCACAUGGGACAAGCUCUUGCCAAUGGAGAAUUCUAGUCAACAACUCGAACAGAAGCUUUCAAAAUCAAGCUCUUUACUAGCAACGGUCCAGUUCAAAGAUAUUUAUAAGUGAGCACUGAUGGAGAAUUUUCCAGAAGAUACACAGAGAAGGCUGAGCUGAAGAAGAGGUGAAGAUCUUAUGGGCUAUAGGAAUUUCUUGGGCAGUUUCACCACUCUACAGGCUGAUCAAACAUGUGGAACUUGAACUUUAGGAUCGUAACUUGGAUGAAGAGGAGACCCGUGAUUACCCUAGGUAUAGUUUUCUGAAAGGGGACAGCACUCUCUACUUCUAAUGUAGUGAUCCAGAGAUGUUGAAAGGCAAAGAGACCCUUCACAGAAGCCCAGCCAGACACAACCAUACCUAGGACUAUGUAACACAGAACGAGAAGAACAAAGACUUGUGAACAUCUUGAAGCUGAAGACAAUGCCGGAAAAAAUUGGAUUCUUCCAUUGUAGGAGGAACUCAGUUGCCCUUUUCGUUCCUUAAAUCUUUGUAAAGUUCACAAGCCGGCCUCAGGUCACAGACUAUGAGUUGCGGAUGUAAACUUCAUCAGCAUCUUAGUCACGGCUGUGAAGAGGUAUCAUGACCAAGAUAAUUCUUGCAAACAGCAGGUCCUUGGUCCCAUCCCUCACUCUCUGCCACUGACAGUUACAUCAAAGUGCUCCAUUCCUGACCUUCCAAUGCACAGAUGUAAGCAAUAAAGCUUUGCCGCAGAA